UUUGAUCCUCAUUUCGCUUUCUUCGAUAAUCCCCCGGUGGUUCUCGCGUCGCCCAUCCUUUGGGAGCAAAACCUGUUUCGUCGAAGCCGAUCAGUUCUCGUAAAAUUUUCUAUCAGUAUUCUUCUCGUUUUUCAGUCUCCGGUGCCCUAACGGAUCAUCAAGAAGAGGAAACACAAAACACGAAUCAAGACGACGAUUUGUCUUACAGGAAGAUCUUGGUCGUCUGGAGGAGAUGAAGAAGUCAAUUGAAGCUAAAGUGACUCUUCGCCUGAGCCGUUUGAACCCUGAAAGGCCCCGUUGUUUUUCUUCUGUAUCGUUUUUCUCGAAAUCGUUUUGCUUCUUUGAGAAGGUUAGUGGUUAAUUUAGUAUGAACGCAUCGAUUUUAGGUGGAAUUGACUACGGCAGUCCGUUGCAUGCAUGUUACCGAUGCGGAUAGUUGGUUCGUUCCCUUUUUCGGCCACGAUGCCGGCCUGCGCUUUAAUUGUUUGUUUUCAUCGGUAUAUUCUGAUUCCUUGGCUUGUGGGUUUUCUAUGUCAGUCUACUAUUUCCUGCUAAAGGAUCUCUCGACCUUUCUUUUUGGGUUGUUGUAGCUUCUCUCUCGUUUUGCUUAUACAAGAGCAGAAAAGACGUUUUCUUGUCUGUACUCGUAAAGCAUUGUAUGAUUUCUGACAUCCAUGUUACUUCAUCAGAGGUAUAAAGACUUUUCUCUUAGUCGAGGUAACACUCGGGAAGGAAGUGCAAAGAGCGGUGGAUGGCGUCAUCGGUUUUAUUAUCUCCAUGGAGGUGGCCGAUCUUACCAUACAAGAAGGAAGUGAUCGGCCACAGUUCAGUGGGAAUACGGUAAAGAGAGAUGAGAAAUCUUGAAGAAUCCAUCACGAAAAUACUCACCUCAUGGCAACAAACUCGCGGAGACAGAAAAAGACAGUCACAGAAACGAUCUCGCUGCCGACUGAAGAGAGACGACACCGCUGCCUGAAGAAGACGAGACUAAGCUGCCCGAAGAGAACGCGACGCCGACGACACCGCUGCCUGAAGAAAUCGCCGGCGAUUUCUGAAGAAAUCACCGAUGAUAGAGGACACCAGGUUUCGCCGAAGAUGAGACACGAGGUUUUGGUAAAGGUAAAUUUAGGGUUUUUUAUUCACGUUUACUGAACUGGGAUGUUACUGUUACAAAGCGAUUCUGAAAAAAACGGUUUUCUAAAACCCAGUUACUGAUUACGUGGCAAAAAAACUCCAGCUGGUGUGGCACUCACCUACCACAUAAGACAUAAAAUUAUAUUAUUAUAAUCAGUUUUACUGAAGGAGUAAUAUGACACUUUUAAACAAAAUUAGGAUUUACUGAGACAUUU